GUCUCUCCAAGCCCAGGAGCAGCGAUUAGCAGUGGGAGAGGCACAGGAACGCCGGCUCUUACAAAUGUGCCUGUGAGAGGUUUGAGGGUCAUACUCAGCCUUGGCAUCAGAGCGCCUAUCUCCCACUGGCCUGAAUGCAACGGGGCCGAGUGCAUUGAUGAGCCUGAUUCUCCCCUCCCAUGCGCUGAUGUAAGUCAGGAGGAACUCCAAAGCCAUCAACAGGGUUACACCAGAGACUGUCCAGUUUGACCAAUGUACAUGGCAGAGGGGCAUUGCUGGCACAUGAUGGCAUAUAUCACAUUGGUGGAUCUGCAGGUGAACGAGCCUCUGAUAUAAUAUAAAUAUAAACCUGUCAUAAUGUAGCUGGUUUUGUGAUUAAGGCACUGGGCUGGGACCAGCAAAUCCAGCUCAAUUUGUGGCUCUGUCUCGGGCCCUGGGUAAGUCACUCGGGCCCAGAUCCUCCAAGGUAUUUAGGCUCCUGAUGUCCAUCAAUUUCAGUAGCCGUUACGAGUCCCUCUCUGUGUGUCAGCUUACAGGAGAGAAUCUUCCCAUUCUCCCACUCCUCAGCUGUUGUGUCUUUGAGUCGACACUACAUCUGUACAGCAUCCAGCACAAUGGGGCCGCAAACUCCAUCAGGCCCUCUAGGUGCUACUGUAAUGCAAAUCAUGUAUCUUCUUCACACCCCUGCAAUGCAGGACAGCACAUCCCCAUUGUACAGGUGGGAAACUGAGGCACAGGGAGACUGAGUGACUUGCCCAGGGUCACAGAGCCAUGUGGCAGGGAUGGAAGCCAACUCCCCCAGAACACACAUACUGCUCAGAGAGACUCCUGUCACUCCUACCUGUUUCCAUAUGGCCAUUCUCAUUGAGUGCAUAGCGUGUGCCCAGCUCCUGCACAGAGAAAACACAUGGUUCAAGUGAAAAUGCCUUGCAAUCCACUGUCAGCUUCCUCCCAAGAGAGGCCUGGCAAGACUUCCAUAGGCGGCAAGAUGGCAACGAUCAGGAUAUUGCAGAGAUGAGUGGGUCUGAGUGAAGGCAGAAUACAAGGUGGCACACAGGAAGUUACAUGGGCGGAGCAGCUCGGAUCCCAUCCAGUAGGGGGCAGUGGCGCAUCCCCCCAGCCAGUUCCUGGUACAAUAUCUGAUAAUAGGGGGGACUGGAACACUUGGGGGCCUUAGGCCGAACUUGCACUGCCCUGUCAGUGGAAAGAUGGAACAAGUCUUUAGGAAAGACACUGAGGAUGGGGGUCCCUAUGAACUCAGUACUGUGGGGUUUCACAGGUCAGACGGGGCCAUUAUGACUAUCUAGUCGGACACCGGGGAAAGGCCCGCACCCAGUGAUUUCUGCAUCAAGCCCAGCCCUUCUGUUGGAGCUAUAGCCCAACAAAUAGAAAGACAUCCAGCUGGGAUUUAAGGCCCCCGAGUGAUGGGGAACCCACCACGUCACUAGGGUAGGUUGCGACAACAGUUAGCCUCAUCAUUUACAAAACGUACACCUUAUGUCUAGACGGCAUUCGUCUAGCUUCAGCUGCCAACCGCGGGGGUCUCAUUCUACUAGAUUAGAGCCCUCUGCUAUCAGAAACCUCUUCCCCAGGAAGGCCUUGUAGGGUUUUGUACAGUUAACUAGGACCUAUUGGUCAGAGAAAUCUGGUCAUCAGUUGAAAUCCCCUUUUUUCUUUUAAGUCUAAUAAAAAUAGGUCUGGUCUAGUCUCAGUCCGGUUGCUAGGACACCGGUGUCCACAUUUCCAAAGCACCAUCACCCCGGCACAGAUCGGCCACCUCACUGCCAGUCUCAGCAGAGAGGCGGCGCAUUGAUGGGCCAUGGAGACAACACUGUCCUCACCUUGGUGGGGCGGGGUCCCUCCGGCACAACUUGCCCUGCUAACGCCUGAGCUGUAGCCAGCAGCGCUCACUCGCUGGGGCCGUCACGCUCGCACUGAAGAGGGGACAAACCGCCGUUGCUGGGAUUAUAAAACACUAAGUCCAUGUGGCUGAUUACAGAGCGUGGGUGUAUGGGGAGAGAGGGAGCGGCCACAAAGAUUCUGCAGUCCGGACAAGCAGGGAGAGAGGCAUCACCUCUGAAACACCAGUGAGUGGAGCGGCCAAGGUAGGGCAAUUGCAUGAUGACUGGUGUAUUAGCCACGCAGAUGAUGUGCAUCUCACAGCUGUGGCUAGGGGUGAACAUGCAGGAGCGGGUGACGCUCAGCCAUAGUCUGCUCCGCUGCAAUCUCUACACCCCAGGAGGGACCGGACCAAGUUCCGGCAGAGCAACUCCACUCGCUCCAGCAGAGUUAUUCCGGGUUUACACGGGUGUGACGGAGAAGAGUCUGGCCCGCUCUGUAUACUGGUGUCUGCCUAAGGCCCAUGAGUAAGAGCCAUCUCUCUCCAGCGGCUGUUCUCCGGCAGGAAAUCAUCAUCAUCCCCGGUGACCAGCCAGGAGAAGAGUCACCAGCCGGCCCCCAGUCCCUGCUCUGAUGGACACUGGGUAAAACCAAAAGCAGCUCCAUUGCAGACUAUGGGGUUAUCUGGAUUUACACAGAGAGGCAUGAGAGAAGAAUUUGGCCCCCUGUCUCCAGUCCCUUGUUGAAGCUGUUUUGCAUAGUAACUUGCAAUCAGGUCGUCUUCGAAGACCAGCAGCACGCUGCAGGCCCCUGCUCUCUUUUACUGGGGCAGUCUGGUGCAGCGGCUCAGCAUGCGAGGCUGCAACUGCCAUGUACUGCAGGUUUUCACAUAUUCCAAAAUCUGUCCUCACCUUGUCCUGUGUCUUUGAAAAAGCAGAAUCAUGCUUUUUCCACACUGCCCCACUUUCCCAGGGCCUUACCGAUCCUUUCGGACUAUUCACCUUGAGGCCUCUGUUCUUCAUCAAGAAUCUGUCUCUGUAAAAAUUCUCCCUGCUUUGCCAAAGCAGAUGCUCAACUGUUUCUUUACCUUCGCACAACCCAACUUUGUGCACGUUGAGCAGAACUAAAUGACCAUUCCGCUCAGGGAGCGCUUCGCACUCUCCAGGUAGUUACUGUGCGGCCAUAGCUGUGAAGGAUAACUGCAUCCUCAAGGUUCGGGCACAUUUCAUAGACCCUUCCUCCUUUUUCCUCUUUGCGCCAUAGUUCUUGCUGUGCCUUUGCGAGUUCUCCCUUAACCACACUUUUGCAUUCCUGUUGAGGCAGAGCUUGUCUACGCAUACAGCACUGCAGGCUUAGGAGGAGACACGACCUCACUGACGGGGAGAUUCUCCCAUUGGUGUAGGUACUCCACUUCCUCGAGAGGCAGUAGCUAUAUUGACAGGAGAAGCACCCCCUUCAGGGGGGCCAGAACUGGGGAGGGGGGCAUGGCCUCCCCCACUUUUAAAAGUGGGAGGGCCAUGCCCACCCACUUUUUAACAUGGGUGUUUGGGGGUCAAGGAGCCACAUUGUUCCCCCCCAAUCUGCAAGCCUUGGGCAGGUGCAGCCCCUGCUGGCAGCGCCAGCCUCUUCCUCGUGGGAGGGCUAGGGUGGCCCUUAGCCCCCCUCAC